ACGUAGGGAGCAAGCGUUGUUCGGAUUUACUGGGCGUAAAGGGCGCGUAGGCGGCAAAUCAAGUCAUCUGUGAAAUCUCCGGGCUUAACCCGGAAAGGUCAAUCGAUACUGCGGGGCUAGAGUGCAGAAGGGGCAACUGGAAUUCUCGGUGUAGCGGUGAAAUGCGUAGAUAUUGGGAGGAACACCAGUGGCGAAGGCGGCUCACUGGACUGGUACUGACGCUGAGGCGCGAAAGCGUGGGGAGCAAACAGGA
rnacentral:rRNA from 1 species